rnacentral:rRNA from 1 species
GAUGAACGCUGGCGGCGUGCCUAAUCCAUGCAAGUCGAACGGAGUAUCAGCAAUGGUGCUUAGUGGCGAACGGGUGAGUAACGCGUUGGUGACCUGCCCCGAAGCGGGGGAUAACAGAUCGAAAGGAUUGCUAAUACCCCAUGUGGUUAUCGGGAUCAGAAUCUGAUAACUAAAGUCGUAAGACACUUUGGGAGGGACCUGCGUCCCAUCAGCUAGUUGGUAAGGUAACGGCCUACCAAGGCUAUGACGGGUAGGGGACCUGAGAGGGUGGACCCCCACAAUGGCACUGAAACACGGGCCAUACACCUACGGGUGGCUG